AUGUUGUUCCUGUAUAGUAGCCGGAAAGUCUUUCAAGUUCUCUUUCCUUGGAAGUGGUAUACAAUAGAUAAGGAACCAUGAUAUACUGCAACACUUACAUUGACUAUGCAAUUAUUUCAACAAGUACCCCUAUAAAACUUGUGAUCAAGGAUGUGGCCACGAAAUCAAGCCGUGGGCAAGAGCAAUUAACAGAUUGGUUGAAAGUAUGAAUGUG
rnacentral:lncRNA from 1 species